GAAAUACCCCUAUGGAGCAAGACUUGCUUCAGUGGUGCUCUGGUGCUCACUGAGUCUGCCCCUUCAGUGUAUCACU
rnacentral:pre_miRNA from 1 species